rnacentral:rRNA from 1 species
GAUGAACGCUGGCGGCGUGCCUAAUACAUGCAUGUCGAGCGAAUGGAUUAAGAGCUUGCUCUUAUGAAGUUAGCGGCGGACGGGUGAGUAACACGUGGGUAACCUGCCCAUAAGACUGGGAUAACUCCGGGAAACCGGGGCUAAUACCGGAUAACAUUUUGAACCGCAUGGUUCGAAAUUGAAAGGCGGCUUCGGCUGUCACUUAUGGAUGGACCCGCGUCGCAUUAGCUAGGUGGUGAGGUAACGGCUAACCAAGGCAACGAUGCGUAGCCGACCUGAGAGUGUGAUCGGCCACACUGGGACUGAGACACGGCCCAGACUCCUACGGGAGGCAGCAGUAGGGAAUCUUCCGCAAUGGACGAAAGUCUGACGGAGCAACGCCGCGUGAGUGAUGAAGGCUUUCGGGUCGUAAAACUCUGUUGUUAGGGAAGAACAAGUGCUAGUUGAAUAAGCAGGCACCUUGACGGUACCUAACCAGAAAGCCACGGCUAACUACGUGCCAGCCGCCGCGGUAA